rnacentral:rRNA from 1 species
UACGGAGGGGGCUAGCGUUGUUCGGAAUUACUGGGCGUAAAGCGCACGUAGGCGGCUUUGCAAGUUAGAGGUGAAAGCCCGGGGCUCAACUCCGGAAUUGCCUUUAAAACUGCAUCGCUAGAAUUGUGGAGAGGUAAGUGGAAUUCCGAGUGUAGAGGUGAAAUGCGUAGAGAUCGGUAGGAACACCAGUGGCGAAGGCGGUCUCCUGGAGCAUACUUGACGCUGAGGCGCGAAAGCUGGGGGAGCGAACGGG